rnacentral:rRNA from 1 species
AAACUGCGAAUGGCUCAUUAAAUCAGUUAUCGUUUAUUUGAUAGUACCUUACUACUUGGAUAACCGUGGUAAUUCUAGAGCUAAUACAUGCUGAAAACCCCAACUUCGGGAGGGGUGUAUUUAUUAGAUAAAAAACCAACGCCCUUCGGGGCUUCUUGGUGAUUCAUGAUAACUUCACGGAUCGCAUGGCCUUGCGCCGGCGACGGUUCAUUCAAAUUUCUGCCCUAUCAACUUUCGAUGGUAAGGUAUUGGCUUACCAUGGUUUCAACGGGUAACGGGGAAUUAGGGUUCGAUUCCGGAGAGGGAGCCUGAGAAACGGCUACCACAUCCAAGGAAGGCAGCAGGCGCGCAAAUUACCCAAUCCCGACACGGGGAGGUAGUGACAAUAAAUACUGAUACAGGGCUCUUUUGGGUCUUGUAAUUGGAAUGAGUACAAUUUAAACCUCUUAACGAGGAACAAUUGGAGGGCAAGUCUGGUGCCAGCAGCCGCGGUAAUUCCAGCUCCAAUAGCGUAUAUUAAAGUUGUUGCAGUUAAAAAGCUCGUAGUUGAAACUUGGGCCUGGCUGGCAGGUCCGCCUCACCGCGUGUACUUGUCCGGCCGGGCCUUUCCUUCUGGAGAACCUCAUGCCCUUCACUGGGUGUGCUGGGGAACCAGGACUUUUACUUUGAAAAAAUUAGAGUGUUCAAAGCAGGCCUUUGCUCGAAUACGUUAGCAUGGAAUAAUAGAAUAGGACGUGCGGUCCUAUUUUGUUGGUUUCUAGGACCGCCGUAAUGAUUAAUAGGGACAGUCGGGGGCAUCAGUAUUCAAUUGUCAGAGGUGAAAUUCUUGGAUUUAUUGAAGACUAACUACUGCGAAAGCAUUUGCCAAGGAUGUUUUCAUUAAUCAGUGAACGAAAGUUAGGGGAUCGAAGACGAUCAGAUACCGUCGUAGUCUUAACCGUAAACUAUGCCGACUAGGGAUCGGGCGAUGUUCUUUUUCUGACUCGCUCGGCACCUUACGAGAAAUCAAAGUUUUUGGGUC